rnacentral:rRNA from 1 species
GAAGUAAAAGUCGUAACAAGGUCUCCGUUGGUGAACCAGCGGAGGGAUCAUUGCUGGAACAAACGCCCUCACGGGUGCUACCCAGAAACCCUUUGUGAAUCUUCUUACUGUUGCCUCGGCAUAGACUGGCUUUUUGCAAAAAAGGCCCCUUUUUGGUUCAAAACAGAAAGGAGCAGGUCGGCCGGUGGCCCUAUAAACUCUUUGUUUUUACCAUGUAUCUUCUGAGUACACAACUAUAAAUGAAUCAAAACUUUUAACAACGGAUCUCUUGGUUCUGGCAUCGAUGAAGAACGCAGCGAAAUGCGAUAAGUAAUGUGAAUUGCAGAAUUCAGUGAAUCAUCGAAUCUUUGAACGCACAUUGCGCCCGCUGGUAUUCCAGCGGGCAUGCCUGUUCGAGCGUCAUUUCAACCCUCAAAACUUCGGUUUUGGUGUUGGAGGACUACUUGGUAAAAGAGUAGCCUCUGAAAUUUAGUGGCGGGCUCGCUAGAAUUUUGAGCGUAGUAAUUUUAUACCUCGUUUGUAAAAACUAGCGGUGCUCUUGCCGUAAAACCCCCCAACUUUCUGAAAAUUGACCUCGGAUCAGGUAGGAAUACCCGCUGAACUUAAGCAUAUCA